AUGGGCGCAAGCCUGAUCCAGCCAUGCCGCGUGAGUGAAGAAGGCCUUCGGGUUGUAAAGCUCUUUCGGCGGGGACGAAACGGUCCGUGCCAACACCACGGACUAAUGACGGUACUCGCAGAAGAAGCACCGGCUAACUACGUGCCAGCAGCCGCGGUAAUACGUAGGGUGCGGGCGUUAAUCGGAAUUACUGGGCGUAAAGCGUGCGCAGGCGGCUCCUUAAGUCAGAUGUGAAAUCCCCGGGCUUAACCUGGGAACUGCGUUUGAAACUGGGGAGCUUGAGUGUGGAAGAGGGGGGUGGAAUUCCAGGUGUAGCAGUGAAAUGCGUAGAGAUCUGGAGGAACACCGAUGGCGAAGGCAGCCCCCUGGGCUAACACUGACGCUCAUGCACGAAAGCGUGGGGAGCAAACAGGAUUAGAUACCCUGGUAGUCCACGCCCUAAACGAUGUCAACUGGUUGUCGGGGAAGCAAUUCCUUGGUAACGAAGCUAACGCGUGAAGUUGACCGCCUGGGGAGUACGGCCGCAAGGUUAAAACUCAAAGGAAUUGACGGGGACCCGCACAAGCGGUGGAUUAUGUGGAUCAAUUCGAUGCAACGCGAAAAACCUUACCUACCCUUGACAUGUACGGAACCCUUCAGAGAUGGAGGGGUGCCCGAAAGGGAGCCGUAACACAGGUGCUGCAUGGCUGUCGUCAGCUCGUGUCGUGAGAUGUUGGGUUAAGUCCCGCAACGAGCGCAACCCUUGCCGUUAGUUGCUACAUUCAGUUGGGCACUCUAAUGGGACCGCCGGUGACAAACCGGAGGAAGGUGGGGAUGACGUCAAGUCCUCAUGGCCCUUAUGGGUAGGGCUUCACACGUAAUACAAUGGCCGGUACAGAGGGCUGCCAACCCGCGAGGGGGAGCUAAUCCCAGAAAGCCGGUCGUAGUCCGGAUUGUUCUCUGCAACUCGAGAGCAUGAAGUCGGAAUCGCUAGUAAUCGCGGAUCAGCAUGUCGCGGUGAAUACGUUCCCGGGUCUUGUACACACCGCCCGUCACACCAUGGGAG
rnacentral:rRNA from 1 species